ACCUCCAGACUUAGCUCAGUUGGUAGGGCACGCGUCCCUUAAUCUCAGGGUUGUGGGUUUGAGCCCCAUGUUGGGCA